GAAUUAGACUUACAAAUAUAUAAAUCUCCAAGACAAAUUUACUCUUAAAAGUAAAAUGUGUAUUUCUUUUCAAUUUCCUUCACUUUUUGACAGUGUUGUACACUUCGAAAUUUAAACCCAGAUGCUCCCUUGUUCUCUUGUUUGCAGUGAUUAAUACAAGAAGUCACACCGACCACUGCUAGAAAUGCAGACUUCAGUGAAUAUGAGCAAAGAACUCGCCUCACAUAGACAUCUGAAAUAUUGUGAGCUCAGUCUUCACUAGGAGACUAGGAGUCUUUAAAACUGCUAGACCCAGACGCCCUUUUACGGGGAUUGCCAGGGUGUUUACAUAUGCUAAUUAGGCUCACCUGACACGCACAUCUAAUGUACAUCAUCAUCAUCAUCAUCAUCAACAUCAUUAUAAGAACACAGGUGCAAACAAUUCUGUGGUUUAAGAACAUGUCAUGAAUCUGAUGUAGACUUUUCUUAGGACCUUCCUCAAGAACAAAUCGAGCCUGUAUGAGGGUCAUCUGUGUUUGAAGGAGUCUUUACAGGACGCUCAGGAAUUAAAAGACAAGAGCUACAAAAGCCUCAGAGUUGGAGUAUUGGUGACAGUAAACACGAGGAGAUGUCCGAUACGCCAACGUUUCAGAGCACCUCCACAGAGGAGACAAAGCUUUUCCUCCGACUACAAUCUGGAAGGAAAGUAAAAGAUCUUCAGACAUU